UGGGGAAUUUUGGACAAUGGGCGAAAGCCUGAUCCAGCAAUGCCGCGUGUGUGAAGAAGGCCUUCGGGUUGUAAAGCACUUUUGUCCGGAAAGAAAUCCUUGGCUCUAAUACAGUCGGGGGAUGACGGUACCGGAAGAAUAAGCACCGGCUAACUACGUGCCAGCAGCCGCGGUAAUACGUAGGGUGCAAGCGUUAAUCGGAAUUACUGGGCGUAAAGCGUGCGCAGGCGGUUUGCUAAGACCGAUGUGAAAUCCCCGGGCUCAACCUGGGAACUGCAUUGGUGACUGGCAGGCUAGAGUAUGGCAGGAGGGGGGUAGAAUUCCACGUGUAGCAGUGAAAUGCGUAGAGAUGUGGAGGAAUACCGAUGGCGAAGGCAGCCCCUGGGCCAAUACCGACGCUCAUGCACGAAAGCGUGGGGAGCAAAACAGGAUUAGAUACCCUGGUAGUCCACGCCCUAAACGAUGUCAACUAGUUGUUGGGGAUUCAUUCCUUAGUAACGUAGCUAACGCGUGAAGUUGACCGCCUGGGGAGUACGGUCGCAAGAUUAAAACUUAAAU
rnacentral:rRNA from 1 species